UCCCUGGUAGUCCAGUGGCUAAGACUCUGAGCUCCCAAUGCAGCGGGGCUGGGUUCAAUCCCUGGUCAGGGAA
rnacentral:tRNA from 1 species